GUUACUUUAUUAUUAGAAGCUCUCCUCUCUGUGUGACAUGGAACCCUACUUCUAUUUCUUAUUACUAACAUUGAAUUAACGAAUAUUUAGUGGAAUCCUAUUAAAUUUCCCCGUCGAGGCAACAAGGACGCGAUGAGGACCAGAGGUGAGUGCUGAGGAUGUGAAAGUGAUCUUUGAGUCAAAGGUGGUGAUGAUGUUCUACUGGAAAUGUGUAAUGAUGAUGAAGCACUGAUGAAGAUGAUGGAGUUAAAUAUGUAGGAAAUUGUUUGUAUUUGAUAAAUGAUAUUUGAUUGAAUUAACAUCAAGCUGUGGAAUGUUUAUAGUGUUUAGUGCAGAUGGACACAUUUCUCUGGUUUAAUUAAAUAAAGUAUUUUGUUUGGUGGCCGUACAGAGUUCCUACAGACGAGCAGUCGGAGCUGAUGUUGUGAAGAGACCAUUAAUAAUAAAAUAUGAGCCCACGUCAUGAUGUGACGGUAGUUACAAGUCAACCACAUAGAGACAUAUAUGGCUUCAUUUUAACAAUCUUUGAAGUAAUUGGUUGUUGCUUUGAAGGGAAGUAAAACGUUCUCCACUCGUUUCAUUCUGCAGAAUGAAGUCGUGCGUCGAGCUUCUCUUUGUUUCUCUGCUGACAUUAUGUGAAGCACAAGGAACCAUUGUGACUCCUGUGUUUGUGCUGAAGGGACGUGAUCUGCUCCUCAAGCUUCGUGCUGAUCCUCCUGAGAGGGUUUUAUUUGUUGACUGGAAAAUCAAUAAAAUAGUUGAUUUACUAAGAUUUGAUCCUAGUGGAAAAGCAACUGUCACUGGAAGGGUUCAGUUUGGUGAGAAUAAAUUCUCUGUGAUAUUGAAGAAUGUACAAGAGGUCGACAGUGGAGUUUAUUCUGCUGUAGCAGCAACAGAUACAGAAGACAAACUACUGACUGAAUACAAGGUCACAGUUCAAGGACCAGUGUCUCCAGUUGAACUGAUCGUGGACCGAGUGGACUCCAGCAGCUCAGAG